CUUCAACGAAUUGAACAAAAUACACUUUAUUAAAAUGUGUGCCUUACAGUUCAUAUUGUUUAUUUACCCCUUCUGAUUAACUGGCAGUAAAUGAGGUUUAUUAAGAGUUAAUGAAAAGAGAAGUAGUCUUCCCAGCCUCACAGGAGGUAUUCCUAAUACAUUCCCCUCCUCUCCUGUAACAGAGUAGGGCAAACACUGAUAGAGUUGCUUCUACUCACUCCAGUAGAAGAACCUUUCAUCCUAUUUUGUGUGCUUGUUUAUUUUUAAACGAACUUACAAACAGAAGAAAAAAACAGAUUUUCCCUUCAUUCCCUUCCAUUAAAGCCUAUAAUUCUACUCCAGCAUGCGCAAAAAUGCCAGUAAAUCUGUACUAUAAGCUCUGUGCUUGGAAAUAUUCUCUGAAUUUCUUAUGUUUGAGUCAUGAGAAGAUAAACAUGGAAUCAGUAUAAAAGUAGAGCUGGAAGGGAUUUCAAAGAAGUCAUCCAAUUACAUUCCUUUGCCCCAAGCCAGGAACAUCUUUCAGUGCUGUAAAUCCAUGUAUUAAUUGUGAUCUAUUAAACAAGACUUGCAAACUACCAUAUGUAAUGAAAAAGUAAAGCUGUUUCUGUGUGAAAGCACUUGCAGAUACUGCAGGACAGGCUUCAUGAGCAGCACCAGAUUGAAUACACACUGUCUUGACAGCCCUUUGCAGAAGAAAAGCAAGAAUACCAAAAAUUUGAUGAAUACUAAACAGUUUAAUGGGGCACUUGCUCACUACCCUCAUUGUAAACAUCAGCAAAUUCCUAAUGAAAAAUGAAAUUGAUUUCUGUGGCUAUAUCUAUUACUUCUAUCUGUCUAUAUUUUUGUUACAUUAUUAUUUUUUCUGCACACCUCUUCUGUCCACUUCCACCUCCCUGAAUACCAACUGGACAGGGGAAAAUAGUCCUAAGCACAUAACUAAUACAGUCUGUCUGCAGAGCAAGCAAAUAAUCUUUUGAGAUCAAUGACUAUUAAAAGGAUGGAGGCUACAGAUCUGUACCCUCAGUUCCUGCUCCACCAACCUCUGACAGCCUGCAGAAGAGGAUUAUCACUUCAUGAUGACUCCUCACCUCUCUCAAGGAAUAAUUCAGUUCAUCUUAAAACACCUCUAAAAAUGGAACACUAUUUGCUCUCGGGAAAGCUCAAGACAAAGCAGCAGAUUGAUGCCUGUGAGCAUCACCACAAUGGAGAACACCUCACUUCCUCCUGCCUCUGCAAAAUCCUGUUGCUGCUGCUGGAAGAGUGAAGACAAGGUAAAAACAGAGAAAGAAAAUGAUCAAAGAUAUUGAUGGUUACAGCUUUCCAGAUUAUAUCACUGAAUGCCAAAAAUACCUUGCAGGUGCCCAGGCCUUUUGUCUCCUUUCCCCACUCUGUCAGCAUUUUAACUGCCCUGAAUUAAACUGAAAGUGCUCUUCUAUAUUGUUUACCAUUAAGCGUUUC
rnacentral:lncRNA from 1 species